rfam:Erinaceus europaeus unplaced genomic scaffold scaffold00427, whole genome shotgun sequence
UGUCUCUUGCAUGCCUUGAGUGUAGGACCGUUGGCAUCUCUGUUACCCUCCCACACCCAAGGCUUGCAGGAGGUC